AACAAGAAAGAGAAGGAGAAACGUUGAAGGCCAUUUCGGGCAAGAGCAAUUUUCACAAGAAAAAUUUGCAAAAAUUCUCCAAAAAUCAUUUUCUACCAAGUAAAGGGUGAUUAACAAGGUGGAGUUGUUGUUGGAGCAAGAAAAAUUCAAAAUCAUACAAGUUGUCAAGUUGUAGUCAAGUGAGAAGUUGAAGAAGAAAGAUUUUGACGAGAUUGCAACGUGAAUUCGGAAUAGCAAAAGAAGCAGAAAGAGGUCAGCAGACAGGCGGAUUUGAUCCUUAGAAGCUCUACCAGCAGUGUUGACAGUGCUCCAGUUAUUCCGAAGCCUCACUUCCUUGGUACUAUUUUGUGUAUAUAUAUUCGGGCAUGGCAGUACUCAGCCCUUUCUAUGUAUAAGUGUACUACGUCUAGAGGCUCGUAGACAGUUAUGUACAGUCAGUUAAGCACAGUUAGAUAUAUGGUGUUUGGCAUGUUAAUGUUGAUGUAUAAGUGAUAACGAAGUUUAUUAGUCUAUGUUCAGAAUGACGCCGCUAAUGUUAAUGUUCAAAAAAAAAAAAAUGGCUCUGUUUACAUGGCUUGCUAAGAGGUAAAGGUAAAACGAUAGACAAGGGGUGCUCGGUACAAGUAUCGGGUACUCGUCACGGCCCUAGACGGGUCGUGACAAAUAUAGAGCCUAUUUUUACUACACUUCGUUUUCACGACUUUUGUAUUUCGCUGUAUUUCAAUGUAUUUCUGCAUUUUGUAUUUCUAAUUUGUGAAACAGUUUCUGAUGUAUUUCAUUGUA